rnacentral:rRNA from 1 species
CAGUAGCCGCGGGAAUACGAAGGGGGCUAGCGUUGCUCGGAAUGACUGGGCGUAAAGGGCGCGUAGGCGGCGAUCAAAGUCAGGCGUGAAAUUCCUGGGCUCAACCUGGGGGCUGCGCUUGAUACUUGGUUGCUUGAGUGGGGAAGAGGGUCGUGGAAUUCCCAGUGUAGAGGUGAAAUUCGUAGAUAUUCGGAAGAACACCAGUGGCGAAGGCGGCUCACUGGCUCAUUCUAGACGCUGAGGUGCGAAAGCGUGGGGAGCAAACAGGAUUAGAUACCCCUGUAGUCCCUGUCUCUUAUAC